ensembl:snRNA U1 U1 spliceosomal RNA
AUACUUAUCUGAAAGGAGAGACACCAUGAUCAUGCAGGUGGUUUUCCAGGGUGAGGUUCAUCUCCUGCUCUCUGGGUGUUCUGAACCCUGUGAUUUCCCCAUACGCGGGAAACUGGACAGCACAAUAUAUGAUAGCGGGGGACUGUGUUUGCACUCACAAUUU